AACGUAGGUGGCGAGCGUUAUCCGGAUUUACUGGGCGUAAAGGGUGUGCAGGCGGGCUGUUAAGUGGUGUAUGAAAUCGCCGGGCUCAACCGGGCGAGGUUAUGCCAGACUGGCAGUCUAGAGAGCGAGAGAGGGACGUGGAAUUCCGGGUGUAGUGGUGAAAUGCGUAGAGAUCCGGAGGAACCCCAGAGGCGAAGGCGGCCUGCUGGGCUGUUGCUGACGCUGAGGCGCGACAGCGUGGGGAGCAAACAGG
rnacentral:rRNA from 1 species